rnacentral:rRNA from 1 species
AACGAACGCUGGCGGCAGGCUUAACACAUGCAAGUCGAACGGUUGUAGCAAUACAGCAGUGGCAGACGGGUGAGUAACACGUGGGAACCUUCCUAGGGGUACGGAACAACUCAGGGAAACUUGAGCUAAUACCGUAUACGUCCGUGAGGAGAAAGAUUUAUCGCCCUUAGACGGGCCCGCGUCGGAUUAGCUAGUUGGUGGGGUAACGGCCUACCAAGGCGACGAUCCGUAGCUGAUCUUAGAGGAUGAUCAGCCACACUGGGACUGAGACACGGCCCAGACUCCUACGGGAGGCAGCAGUGGGGAAUCUUGGACAAUGGGCGCAAGCCUGAUCCAGCCAUGCCGCGUGAGUGAUGAAGGUCUUCGGAUUGUAAAGCUCUUUUACCAGGGACGAUAAUGACGGUACCUGGAGAAUAAGCCCCGGCAAACUUCGUGCCAGCCGCCGCGGUAACAC